UCGGGAGCUGAUCCUCCAGCCCUACCACAGGCCAACACUAAGGACCUUAUAAAAGACUGAAUGCUGGAAUACCGGGAGUCAGUCAGAUGGCAAAUGCAAAUAAGCACCCUGAGUGGAACUCUGUUUGGAUAAGGUGGUGGUUCCAACUUAUUCAAGAACAUUUUUCAAUGCACAUUUUGGAAACAUCUGGUUCAUUAAUAUCCUACAACAAAUGCUGAAAUCCCAGAAGUGCCUCCACCACGAUGCUGUCCGUAUUGUUGAAAGUGGGGCUGACAAACAAUCUCCACAUCUCCUACCCUUGCUUCUGAUUUGUAUCUUUCUGUAAGAUAUUGCCCCUUAUAGGGCAUCCUUGUCCAUGUUGUAGA